rnacentral:rRNA from 1 species
ACUCCUACGGGAGGCAGCAGUGGGGAAUAUUGGACAGUGGGCGAAAGCCUGAUCCAGCCAUGCCGCGUGUGUGAAGAAGGUCUUCGGAUUGUAAAGCACUUUAAGUUGGGAGGAAGGGCAGUAAGCUAAUACCUUGCUGUUUUGACGUUACCGACAGAAUAAGCACCGGCUAACUCUGUGCCAGCAGCCGCGGUAAU